rnacentral:rRNA from 1 species
AACGAACGUUGGCGGCGUGGAUGAGGCAUGCAAGUCGAACGCGAAAGCCGCAAGGCGAGUAAAGUGGCGGACGGGCGAGUAACACGUAAUCAAGCUACCUGUGAGACGGGGAUAACUUCGGGAAACCGAAGCUAAGACCCGAUGGCCUUAGGAGACCGCAUGGUUUCCUAAGUAAAUGGGCGGGACCUUUCGGGGUCGCCUGCUCGCAGAGGUGAUUGCGGCCCAUCAGCUAGUUGGUAGGGUAAUGGCCUACCAAGGCAACGACGGGUAGCCGGCCUUAGAGGGUGGUCGGCCGCACUGGGACUGAGACACUGCCCAGACUCCUACGGGAGGCAGCAGUGGGGAAUUUUGGACAAUGGGCGCAAGCCUGAUCCAGCCAUGCCGCGUGAGUGAAGAAGGCCUC